rnacentral:rRNA from 1 species
UUGACAGAUUGAGAGCUCUUUCUUGAUUCGGUGGGUGGUGGUGCAUGGCCGUUCUUAGUUGGUGGAGCGAUUUGUCUUGGUUAAUUCCGAUAACGAACGAGACUCUAGCCUACUAACUAGGCGUUUCCGGUAUCCACAAUCGUGCUACCGGCGUUUUAAUUUCUUCUUAGAGGGACAGGCGGCUUCUAGCGGCACGAGACUGAGCAAUAACAGGUCUGUGAUGCCCUUAGAUGUCCUGGGCCGCACGCGCGCUACACUAAAGGAAUCAGCGUGUCUCCCCUGUCCGAAAGACCGGGGUAACCCGCUGAACCUCCUUUGUGCUAGGGAUUGGGGCUUGCAAUUGUCCCCCAUGAACGAGGAAUUCCCAGUAAGCGCGAGUCAUAAGCUCGCGUUGAUUACGUCCCUGCCCUU